CCCGGGGAGACAGAGGGCAGGAGAAAAAGGCCGGCCCCGCUCACAAUGGAGCCCCUGUGGCGGCCCCUCCGAGACAAUGCGGUCCCCCGGGACCCGCGGUGGGUUGCGCCAGGCCAGUCCGCGCUCCAGCUGCCUCUUCAGAACAAGGCAGUGCAAAUGUGCCCACUUGAUUCUAAAUCCUCUUAGGCGCUGUCCAUGUGAACAAGGAAAGGGGUGGCCCUACGAUCCUUUACAAUCGGAGGCCUGGGGAGGCCUGGGAGCCCUGGAGCUCCGGAAAAUGUCUGCACCACGCAUGCAAAUGGGUCAUUUCGCUUGGAGAGAGGCAUCUGGCGACAUCGGCAGAAAGGCUCUCUGCCCGGUAGACGGUGAACAAAACCCACAAAACCAGCCAGCCAACAGCGUGCACUAAACACCCCUCUCUGGCCCUUCAAUGCCACCCGGAGUCCUGAAACAUUUUCAGGUUGUUUCCCCUGGAGAGACGUCCCAUGAAAUGUUCAGAAAAGCCAGCUGAGCUGUGCAAAGUCAUUAGUCACCCAGGUCAUUUAUGCCACACUCAGUUAUGAAGCCUAGGAAAGAAGAAAAAAGACCUACUAUGUGCUAGUUCAUGUGCUUGCAAUGUAUCCUCACAGAGACCCUCUGAGUGGGUUCUAUGGUUUUUCCCCUUUUAUAGGCUCAAAGGUUAAUUCAUCCAUUCAAGGCCACACAGCUAAUAGCGUAUCCUGUGGCAUACAGUUUUUAUUCAAGGCUGGCUUGUAUAUAUCAUAUUUAUACAGCGACAAGAACUUUUGAAAUACAAGUUAAGAACUUUAAGGAGAAAAAAACGUUCUUAUUGGAAGCAAAUGAAACAGAAAUUCCAAGUUAAAGCCAAAAGUCAUCCUGAACAUGCUUUUAUUCCAAUGGAAAUUUAAAAUUAUAUAUUGUAUCAAGAUAAUCUUUGGGUAAGAAAAUUCCUCGUUCCAAGAUUAUGAAAGUAUUCAUCUGUGUUUUCACCGAGUACAUUUCUGGCUUUGUUUGAUGCAUCUGUAUGUCGAUAAUAAGGAAUCAGGUAAAGAUAUAACUGAAUUGUUCUUCUUGCAAAUCCAUUAUUUUAUCAUAAUUUGUUAUAUAAUCCAUGCUUUCUAUCGGUUA
rnacentral:lncRNA from 1 species